CAGUCGCCGCGGUAAUACGUAGGGUGCGAGCGUUAAUCGGAAUUACUGGGCGUAAAGCGUGCGCAGGCGGUUCGUUAAGACAGAUGUGAAAUCCCCGGGCUUAACCUGGGAACUGCAUUUGUGACUGGCAAGCUAGAGUAUGGCAGAGGGGGGUGGAAUUCCACGUGUAGCAGUGAAAUGCGUAGAGAUGUGGAGGAACACCGAUGGCGAAGGCAGCCCCCUGGGCCAAUACUGACGCUCAUGCACGAAAGCGUGGGGAGCAAACAGGAUUAGAUACCCCUGUAGUCCCUGUCUCUUAUAC
rnacentral:rRNA from 1 species